rnacentral:snoRNA from 1 species
CUGAGUGAUGACCAUUUCCGACCGGGCGGACAUAGUUUAGUAUUGCACGGCCGUAUGGUGCUCCCUGUGUACAAAUUUUUGGGGGUGCUGGCCGAGCAAGAAUUGAUGAGUGGUCGUGAGACAGCUGACG